UAGUGUGACGAGUGUGCCUCUUUCUGCCGAGGUGGCUGGACCUACUUGCCUUUCACCACGUCUUGCCCCAACCCUUUUGGGAUUUUGGACCGUCGUUAUCCCUGUUUCGUCCAUGUUCCACACGUUUUGUGGUUCAAACUUGUGUUUGUCCAAAACCUUGCUCAAAUUGUCGAAGAAGUUGUUAACAUUCGUUCGAUUAAAACUGGCUGCCCUCGAAAGGCUUGUGGCUUGGGGACGCCUUAUCGAGAGAGUGGGGUGCCUCUUUAGAAAGCCAGUGAACCAGUCAACACCAGCCAUACUGGUCUCACUCCACUUUGAGGGAAAAUAGCCGUUGUAGUGAGAGGCUAGUUGAAAGGCAAACUUCCGAACCUGAAAUAAAAUGUAAAUAUUGUCCAUCUCUCUAUCUUCCUCCCUCUCUCUCUCUCUGUCUUUCUCUCUCUCUUCUAUAGGCUACAUAAUUCUCUUGUUAAAAUUUGUUUUUCUCGCAUAUUUAUCUUACCUCUUUGGGAAUUAACCCAUAGUAUUGUUCAGCUGCCCUUUUUAAAUAUUCUCUGAGGCUCCUCUCUUGGUCCUCUGAGAACUCUUUUCUGCUGGUCCAGUACCCUGCUCUCUCGGUAACUUAUCCGAUCCUUCGCCUGUAAGUUUCUCUCUUUUUUUAUUCAAUCGAAAAAAGGUGGUGUGACAGAUGGCAAAGUGCUUGGCUACUGCCCUGACUGUCCUGCCCUCAUCCCUGAUUACAUCUGAUGCUCGUUCCAAAAUAUUGAGGGGAACCCCUCUGUUAGAAACCCUCUUCCUCACUCUUGGCAUACUGAAAACAAACAGAAUAAAACUA